CUUUCUCUCUUUCUUUCUUCUUACAUGAUAAAAAAAACCUAAAUCUCUCUCUCUCUCUCUCUCUCUCUCUCUGAGGAUGAUAAUAGAGAGAGAGAGUCUCACUCAACUCUCACGGUCGGGCUCGGAUUCGCUUGGUGCAGGUCGGGAACCAAUUUGGCUGACACAGCCACACGUGCCCCCUUUUUCUUUAUUGGUUUGUGAGCAGGGAUUGGAUCCUGCCUUGCAUCAACUGAAUCGGAGCGCCCGACCGUGCACUAAUCCAUACUCGCUUAUCCAAUCAGAUCUGGAAAUAUAUAUAUAUAUAUAUAUAUAUCUCCUUCUUUUUUACAUUCUUUUUUUUCUUUAAAUCUUUAUAGCUUUUGAAAUCUUUAAAUCUGUUGUUUUGUUGAUCUGAUUUCACCAUUUUAAAAAUCUUUAAUCUCUGUUUUGUUGGCCCAAAUGUUGGAAUCUUUGUUUUAGUUUUGAAUUUAAAGAUCUAUGGUUUUGAAAUGAUGAUAGUGAUUUUGUUGGUGUAAUUAGUUGUAAGAUUUAUUAAAUCUGUUGUAACAGUUAAUUCUUAUGAUUUGAUUGUUUUGUUUAUUUUAAUUUUGGAUAGGUUGCGACGACGACGAUGAUGAGAUUCAAAGUGAACGAUUUUAACUCGUAAAAAGGAUGACGAUGAUUAAGUUAAGUUAGUUGUGCAAAAGAGAUGAAGAGAAGAUUUAUUGGAAACAUGUGAACUGAAGAAGAUUCUUUUAUUUCGUGUUUCAGUGUUUUUUUUUUUUUUUUUCCCAUUUUGAGAUAAUGUAAUGUUCUGAAUUUGUUAUAGAGAACAAAUGGUGUGGAUUGUGGAAGUAGUAAAGAAACAGAACCAAUUCGACUACUACCGUUAGUGCGGAAUAAAUUGUGCAAUUAAUGAUGUUAGUGGAAACUAAAACGUAACCAAACAACAUAGUUUUAAAUGCCACUUAUAAAGUUGGUUGGUUGGUUGGUUGUUUGUUUGAUUUAAUCAUGUGUAUGUAUUAAAUAUCUAUAUAGGUUGAAACAGUCUCAGACUAUGCAUUUCACUGCAGUGUGUACCUUGUUGUAUCUUUUGUUCUAUACAGAUUUUUUUUUGUUUUUUUGUAUCUGAAUUACAAUGUGUACAAUCACUAUUUAUGUAUGUGUAAACUGUAAAGUAAACCAAAAGUUGUAGACUUUUGUGCUCAAGUGUAAUGGGAAGUAGAUUUGAGCAA